UCCAGGGUAGCCUAGUGGACAUGGCAUCUGCCCGGUAAGCGGAACGUUGUGGGUUCGAUCCCCGCCCCUGGAA
rnacentral:tRNA from 1 species